GGCUUUUCCACCUGGACAAUCCCUCCCUCCCCAGGUGGAAGGUGAGGGGGUUCUGCUUCUCCCCGGGCAGAAGCAGAACCACAGCCCCUUUGUCCCCUUUGCCAGAGGCUUCAAGGGGCAGCGUCCCCCAGCGCCCCCCGAGCAAGCUCCCCAUCUGACAAGGGAGGCCCUAGCUCAUCCCAGAAGCAUCAGAGUCAUCCUUCACACUCACCACCAUGCUGAGGACCCAGAGGGGCUCAUGCCUCCAGUGUCAGACAGGAUUGAGAUCCAGGCUGUCUGGCUCCGGGGUCUUAGCCCUGACACUCGACUUCAGAGGGAGUUCUUGCCUGGGAGUGCCUUCAAAGCACAGUCCCUGGACACUUUCCCCUGCGACAUUUAGUCCUUUAAGGAGGCUGUAAGCACGUUGACCUGCCCCAGAGCCAGUCGUGCCCUCACGUCCCUCAGGACGGCCCACCAUGGCCAAGCACAGGCCAGAGAACAGCCUUGUUGUUGGCGUCAGGACUGUUGGCAUCAGGGUCCUGCUUGUCAGGUUAGGAACGUGGUUCCUUUACCUGCACCUCCAGGUGAUGCUGUCUCCAUCCUUAGAACCUGAAGGCCUAGGUCCCUAAAAGUAGCAGCAGCAGCAGUAGUAGUAGCAGUAAUAGUAGGAGAAGGAGGAGCUGAAGACCUCACAAUAAUCAUUGCCCAACCGCGUGAACCAGCCCAUCUUAAGCAUGGAACACACACUGUCGAAUUCUCACACCUCCUUUUGGAGCGGGUUCUCUCAAUUAUCCCAUUUACAGACAAAGAAUCUGAGACUCCAAGGGGCUAAAUGAUUUGCUCAAAGUCAGGGUAAGUGUGAGAACUGGAGCCGAAACCCAGCCUGCUGGACCUGAGCCCCUGACUCUCAACCUUAAGCCACGCUGUCUCCCAUGGAUCCCUCCAGGGCCAGGCAGUUGGUGCUCAAUAAUUGCAUACUGCGUGGAGGUGAGCUGGGCUCUGGGUGUGGCCAGGUGGUGUCCCUGGAGGGCUCAGCACACCUUUCUCAGGUAGGUGGUAUUAGGCAGUGGGCUCAUGUGGUCCUGAUUCAGAGGCGGAGAAUGGGAGUGUUUCAGGGAUGCAGGUAUGAGCCUGGUCCUAGCACGCAUCUCUAGGUGGGGACAGACUCCUCUCAGCCACCCCAUUGCCCAGUGAUAGUUCCUUUGCACUGAUGCUGUCACAUCCUUGUCAUUCUGGGGGAUUAAACUCUGCCCUCUGGAUGUGUUCAUGGGCAGCUCAGUAAUACAAAGAAGUCAUUCAUAAGUUUACUUUGCUUUCGACUGCCCUUUCAUGGUAACGUUGGUUCAAGGGAAUCCUGUGAUUCCCCAAAUGUGGGGAGCAAAUCGAGUCACCAUGAGUCACCUCCCCAGGCUGAUGUCUUCUCUGGCACAUGUGGCCACGGGGGAGCCAGGAUGGGUCUCCUUCCUCACUCCAUCUGCUCGCUGGGUCUUGGUCUCAGGUGCCUCUUCCCUUCACUGCCUGUCUUUUAUUCCUCUGUCUACCCUCUCCUCAUACAGAAAUUGGGAUUUCUCAUACAGAGAAAUGGAGUGAUUGCUCCUGAUUGCACAGCCGGGAGGGCUGUACACUGGAGCCCCUCCUGCUGCAAUUAACUUAUUUUCCACCCCUGCGGUGUGUGGUUCCUGGAGCAACGCCUGCUACCUGCUUCUCUGCCCCAUCCUCUGUGAGGAAGGGUCCAUGCUGUUCCUUUUUCUGUCUCAAAAAUGUGCUCAUGUGCCCCAAGUUGUGUGAACCACCGACUCUGUGCUCCUUCCAGGCCCUGACCAGUGUGUUUGAGCAUUAAAGCUCGCAGGUACAUCAAAGGUGCUCAGUAAAUGCUGGAUAAAUCAAUCCAUGCUUUCCUGGGCUCUCCUGGUGGGAUGCAUUCUUUUAGCUAAGCGUCCCUGCCAGGGGAGUGGUUGGUUUCCAUGAGGCCAGAGGGGGAAAAGCUGGUUGACCCCUAUCCUGGGCAUUCAGAGUCAUUUCCCGCUCCUUUCUGUGGCUGGAACCAGAAGAAUAUAUCUCAGGUCUAAUAGGGUAUGGACUGCAUAAAGCCUGGGAUUUUUGUGCAUUCUGUUCAUGACAAUGUCUCUAGCCUGUUGAACAGCCCAUAGUAGGCACUCAGCAAACCAAUAGGAACUGAGGGGGUCAAGGAAAUGCCCUGUGAUCCCCCUGAAUCCAACCCCUCUGUCUUUGCCCACCUUUCCUCCGUUAAAACACAGCCUAUAUCAAUGAGGGCCUGGGAGAAAACUGGGGUGGGGGAGGACUGUGCCUCUCUUGACCUUCAUUUACAAAAAAUAAGUUGGCUCCUAGACCCGUGUUGGAGCCACACUGCCCGGGACAGCCCUGAAGCAGCCACGUCCCCACCUUUCAGGAGUCGGCCAAGAGCACGGUGGCUGCAGAAGGCCCUGGCUGAUGGAGAUAACAUUUGACAAACAGGUGCUUUUCCAAUUAUGGAUAACAACAGAAAAGCAGUCAUUGGUUUCUAAAAGGUCAUCAAGAUAUAAAGCCCGUUUGGGAAGGGAAUGACUUACGCAGUGGGCUUGUAUAAAUCUGGAGAAGUUUUAUGCACAAGUCGGACAAGAAAUGUGUUCUACAUACGGCUCGGGAGCCAGCAAGUGCGUAUGAAGCCCCUUCACAUGGCUAGUGGCAUCCUAAGGACCCGGCGACAAUUAGUCAUGGCGUCAUCGAACACCAGGCUGGAGGAGGUCUUGGAUGCCACAGCUCCUUUUGAAUUUCAAAGACGUUCAAAUCCCCAUCUGGCUGUUACACUUUUAGGCUAUUGAGAGUGAAAACAAGCACUGACAUGAACACCCAACCAGCUGCCGGUGACAUCGUCCCCUUCUGAGAUCUGAGGACAUGGAUACCCAACCACCUGCCGGUGACAUCGUCUCCUUCUGAGAUCUGAGGACAUGAACACCCAACCACCUGCCGGUGAUAUCGUCCCCUUCUGAGAUCUGAGGACGUGGAUAUCCAACCACCUGCCGGUGACAUUGUCUCCUUCUGAGAUCUGAGGACAUGGACACCAAACCACCUGCCGGUGACAUUGUCUCCUUCUGAGAUCUGAGGACAUGAACACCAAACCACCUGCCAGUGACAUCGUCCCCUUCUGAGAUCUGAGGACAUGGAUACCCAACCACCUGCCGGUGACAUCGUCUCCUUCUGAGAUCUGAGGACAUGGACACCCAACCACCUGCCGGUGACAUCGUCUCCUUCUGAGAUCUGAGGACAUGAACACCCAACCACCUGCCGGUGAUAUCGUCCCCUUCUGAGAUCUGAGGACGUGGAUAUCCAACCACCUGCCGGUGACAUUGUCUCCUUCUGAGAUCUGAGGACAUGGACACCAAACCACCUGCCGGUGACAUUGUCUCCUUCUGAGAUCUGAGGACAUGAACACCAAACCACCUGCCAGUGACAUCGUCCCCUUCUGAGAUCUGAGGACAUGGAUACCCAACCACCUGCCGGUGACAUCAUCUUCUUCUGAGAUCUGAGGACAUGGACACCCAACCACCUGCCGGUGACAUCGUCUCCUUCUGAGAUCUGAGGACAUGGACACCAAACCACCUGCCGGUGACAUCGUCUCCUUCUGAGAUCUGAGGACAUGAACACCCAACCACCUGCCGGUGAUAUCGUCCCCUUCUGAGAUCUGAGGACGUGGAUAUCCAACCACCUGCCGGUGACAUUGUCUCCUUCUGAGAUCUGAGGACAUGGACACCAAACCACCUGCUGGUGACAUUGUCUCCUUCUGAGAUCUGAGGACAUGAACACCAAACCACCUGCCAGUGACAUCGUCCCCUUCUGAGAUCUGAGGACAUGGAUACCCAACCACCUGCCGGUGACAUCAUCUUCUUCUGAGAUCUGAGGACAUGGACACCCAACCACCUGCCGGUGACAUCGUCUCCUUCUGAGAUCUGAGGACAUGGACACCAAACCACCUGCCGGUGACAUCGUCUCCUUCUGAGAUCUGAGGACAUGAACACCCAACCACCUGCCGGUGACAUCGUCCCCUUCUGAGAUCUGAGGACAUUGAUACCCAGCCACCUGCCGGUGACAUCGUCUCCUUCUGAGAUCUGAGGAUAUGGACACCAAACCACCUGCCGGUGACAUCGUCUCCUUCUGAGAUCUGAGGACAUGAACACCCAACCACCUGCCGGUGACAUCGUCCCCUUCUGAGAUCUGAGGACAUGGAUACCCAACCACCUGCCGGUGACAUCGUCUCCUUCUGAGAUCUGAGGACAUGGACACCCAACCUGCUGCUGGUGACAUCGUUCCCUUCUGAGAUCUGAGGACAUGGACACCAAACCACCUGCCAGUGACAUCGUCUCCUUCUGAGAUCUGAGGACAUGGACACCAAACCUGCUGCCGGUGACAUCGUCCCCUUCUGAGAUCUGAGGACAUGGACACCCAACCACCUGCCGGUGACAUCGUCUCCUUCUGAGGUCUGAGGACAGACACUCACAUGGACACCUAAACACCUGCCGAUGAUAUUGUCUCCUUCUGAAAUCUGAGGACAUGGACACCCAACCAGCUGCUGGUGACAUCAUCUCCUUCUGAGAUCUGAGGACAGACACUCACAUAGACGCCCAAUCAGCUGCUGGUGACAUUGUCUCCUUCUGAAAUCUGAGGGUUGGAACACAUUGGCCUGGCUCAGUGUUUCUCCAUGUGGUUUUGAGACCACCUGAGUUGGAACCGAUAUGGGUUCCCAGCCUCACGCCUGGAGAGCUGGAUUUUGCGAGUGUGAGGUUAGGUCCAGCAUCUGCAUGUGUAACGAGCUCCCAGGUGUUUCGUAGAUGCAUUAGGGCUUGAGAAGCUCCUUUCUAGCACCAUCUUCCUUUUUGCGCAUGAGGGAGUUCAGGUCCAGAGAAAUAAAGCAGCAAGGUUAGUGGC
rnacentral:lncRNA from 1 species